rnacentral:rRNA from 1 species
AGACGAACCGGACAAACGUUAUUCGGAAUUACUGGGCUUAAAGGGUGCGUAGGCGGCUCGACAGGUGGGAUGUGAAAUCCCCCGGCUCAACCGGGGAACUGCGUUCCAAACCGUCGAGCUUGAGAGAGACAGAGGUGAGCGGAACUUGCAGUGGAGCGGUGAAAUGCGUUGAUAUUGCAAGGAACACCAGUGGCGAAGGCGGCUCACUGGGUCUCUUCUGACGCUGAGGCACGAAAGCUAGGGGAGCGAACGGGAUUAGAAACCCCAGUAGUCC